rnacentral:tRNA from 1 species
CAAAUUAAAGCUUUAAGAAGCAUUUUAGUUACAUUAAAAAGAUUAUGUGUAUAUAAUUUGA